GGGGUUUUGUCAGGCAACGAGCGAGACCCACACUCCUAAUUGCCAGCAACACGCUUGUCGUGGUUGGGUACCUUAGGAGGACUGCCGCUGCUAAAGCGGAGGAAGGAAUGGGCAACGGUAGGUCAGUAUGCCCCGAAUGUGCUGGGGUACACGCGGGCUACAAUGGACAGGACAAUGGG
rnacentral:rRNA from 1 species